rnacentral:lncRNA from 1 species
AAUCAUCCACCUAUGAAGACCGCAGUAGGAUGCUCAUUAAGACUCAGUCAACAACACUUUUAGAAUCACUUGCUCUGGGAGAGCUGACGCCAUGUCAGGAGGACACUCAAGCAGGCCUGUGGAGAAGGACGUGUGGAGAGGAACGAGGCCUCCUCACAACAGCCAGCAUCACGUUUCCAUCUGGAUGAGUGAGCCGUCCUGGAAACGGAUCCUCCAGCCCCAGUGACGCCUUCCCAUGACCGCGGCCCUGGCCGACAUCUUGACUGCAGCCUCAUGAGAGACCUUGAGCCAGAAAUACCCAGUUAAACGGCUCCUGGAUUCCUGACCCACAGAAACUCUGUGACAGGAUCGAGGGACAUGGUGACCGACCCAAUCGAGCUGUGAUGGAAUCAAGAGGAGGACCUGGCG